UGACUUCUCCUUCCCCUAGCAGAGCCUAGAAUAAAGGGGCCAGGCCUCCUCCCCUUUAGGAGGGAGGUUUGAGAAGGGACCUCACUCAGGCUGGCCUGGCUUCACAUUU